GCGAAAAGAGCGCCGUGGACGUUCAAGCAAAGCAUCUGCAUUGUCUGCUCCCAUUGAGGCAGGAGAGGAGGAUGUUCUGGACGAUGAUGGAGAGGAAGAGCGUGAGGCUUGGCUUACGACCAUCACUUUGGCAAUUUGCAAGGCCUUUGAUUUGCUAGAGAUGCUGAAGAAGGAGGAAGAGAUGCUCACGUCCAUCAAGGAAAAAGAAGAAAAG
rnacentral:misc_RNA from 1 species